rnacentral:ncRNA from 1 species
GUAGUUUGAGAUAAAAACACGAUUCGGUUGGUAGUCCGGAUGCAGAUAUAAAUCUGUCAGUAACCUUCCCUCUUGGGUUGUCCAUUCUCAAUUUAAAGCUA